CCGGCGACCGGCGCACGGGUGAGUAACACGUAUGAAACCUGCCCGUAGCAGGGGGAUAAGCGGAAGAAAUUCCGUCUAAUACCGCGUAACAACCCAUGGAGGCAUCUCUGUGGGUUUAAAGGAAGCGAUUCCGGCUACGGAUGGUCAUGCGUCGCAUUAGCUUGUUGGCGGGGUAACGGCCCACCGUGCCGACGAUGCGUAGGGGUUCUGAGAGGAAGGCCCCCCACACUGGUACUGAGACACGGACCAGACUCCUACGGGAGGCAGCAG
rnacentral:rRNA from 1 species